CCUACGGGAGGCAGCAGUGAGGAAUAUUGGUCAAUGGACGAGAGUCUGAACCAGCCAAGUAGCGUGAAGGAUGACUGCCCUAUGGGUUGUAAACUUCUUUUAUAUGGGAAUAAAAUGUUCCACGUGUGGGUUUUUGUAUGUACCAUAUGAAUAAGGAUCGGCUAACUCCGUGCCAGCAGCCGCGGUAAUACGGAGGAUCCGAGCGUUAUCCGGAUUUAUUGGGUUUAAAGGGAGCGUAGGUGGAUUGUUAAGUCAGUUGUGAAAGUUUGCGGCUCAACCGUAAAAUUGCAGUUGAUACUGGCAGUCUUGAGUACAGUAGAGGUAGGCGGAAUUCGUGGUGUAGCGGUGAAAUGCUUAGAUAUCACGAAGAACCCCGAUUGCGAAGGCAGCUCACUGGACUGCAACUGACACUGAGGCUCGAAAGUGUGGGUAUCAAACAGGAUUAGAUACCCCUGUAGUC
rnacentral:rRNA from 1 species